rnacentral:rRNA from 1 species
AUUGAACGCUGGCGGCAGGCUUAACACAUGCAAGUCGAACGAGUGGCGGACGGGUGAGUAAUGCUUGGGAAUCUAGCUUAUGGAGGGGGAUAACUACGGGAAACGGUAGCUAAUACCGCAUACCAUAGGAUGAGCCCAAAGGGGAUUAGGUAGUUGGUGAGGUAAAGGCUCACCAAGCCGACGCUCCCUAGCUGGUCUGAGAGGAUGACCAGCCACACUGGAACUGAGACACGGCCCAGACUCCUACGGGAGGCAGCAGUGGGGAAUAUUGCGCAAUGGGGGCAACCUGAUGCAGCCAUGCCGCGUGAAUGAAGAAGGCCUUCGGGUUGGAAAGCUCUUUCGGUAGCGAGGCGUUACCUACAGAAGAAGCACCGGCUAACUCCGUGCCAGCAGCCGCGGUAAUAC